UACCGACAGUAAUUGUAGUACAAAUACAACUGGUUAAUUAUGUAUGCACAACUGGUUAAUAAAUAAAAAUUCUAGAAUAUCAGUAAUUUAAAUUCUCAAAUGAGUGCCCUUUCCCACUUCAGAUUUUCACGGUUUAGUUCUUAAUCUGCCUUUUUUCUGGCAAGAGUUCUUUUUUCUUUUCCCUCUAAAGGCACUGCACCAGCUUUUUGAUUAUAGCCACUUGACUCACCUGUAGAGAAGGCACUUAAUUUAUGUAGUCCUUGUAUCAAUACUUUCUAUUCACAUGAUAGUCUUGCACUAAAAAGAUGUUCUGCUUUGGUCUUUCCAUUAGAAUGCAAUAUUUCCUAUGAUUUACACAUCGACAAGCACAAGGCUCAGUAUUUUCAAGCAUAUGGUUAUCAGACAGCAUGGGAAACAACGUGGAAUAAUGACUUGAGAGGAGAAAUAUAACACCAGAAGAGGAUCACCAAGUGAAUUCAGCUAUUUUGUCAUAGAAUGGUUAAUUUAUCAUGCCCAAAACUUUCUUUACAAUCAUUCAAACCAUACAUAAUGAUUCUCUCCUCCUCAUCUCCAUUCAAAAUACAGAAUAUAUUAGUGGAAAUUAUUGCAGAUGAAUAUCCUGAGUUUAGGUUCUACUGAGGACAAUAAAUUAGUAAUGCAAACAAGUAUCAAUCAACAAAGAUUUACAUGACUCGGCUUACAGCCUGCAUUCCUGAGCACUUACUAUUGAGAAAGCUCUACUAAAAUGAAGUGAGAAUACUAAUAGAUGGUCCACUGUACAAAGCCUCAGAAACCCUAAUUUGCCACC
rnacentral:lncRNA from 1 species